UGGCAAUAUUAUGCUAAUUGUGAUGAUAACUCAUAGGAGCCAAUAUCAUUCAAACUAAAGAACAUAACAAUUUGCAAAAUAUGAUAAAACCUCCUUAUUGUUCUUAACUUUUUAUAGUACCUAAUAUAGUUCCUAAAACACCAGUAUGUACCAUCCCAGUAUAAUGGGUUGUAUUCACCGAAGUCACCGAAGUCCUCAAUCAAAUGACAUUUGAUUAAAGCGAAAUGACGUAAGUGGGAAAUACCUACUGGAAUAUCAACACCAACUAUGUGCAAUCCUGGUCAACUCGUACUGAUUAGUAGAUACUCUAUCAAAUUACUAAGUUGACGAGUUUUACUAGAUGUCAACUCAGACAGCAUAGACCUACAUUUUGGUAACCUGAUAAGUUUGUAACCAAUAGGUACUUUAAGGUGUAACGCGCAGACGACGCUCUUUUUGCGAUUGAGUCCGUACGUACAGAAAAUGUCUGUAUGGUAGACAAAAAGUCCGUCGCGAAUAGUACGCCAUUUGCAGCGCACCUAAAGCAAAUAAAUACACGGUUAAUAAUAUCAUCGAUCGUCAAGAAAAGAACUUUUACAAGUUUCGCACUAAUUCUGAUGUAAAAAGAAUCAGAAUCAUAGUGUUUAUUUGUGAAACAUAUUCAUGUAACAACAAGGAGUAAGUCUUAAUUCAAAGCUGACGAAUUCAGCUAGAAUAUGAUGUUGUAUUCACAGAAUUAUAAGCUGAUCUCAGAUGAUUCACACCUAGUUAGUGUGUCACUGAAAACAACACUCAUUCCUGUUCCGGUUCUUAAUUGCAAUAUAUCGUUCAUUAGUCAUAAUCCUCACGUGUUAUUAUCAGGUUUAUCGAACCACGUUGAUAAAGACUUGCGCAGCUCACGAAAAAUGUGAUAAAUACGUACAACGAUAGGACCCUUAUCAUUCACUGUUGAUUUCACCUGCUGUAAACAAGCCCUUCAAUAAAUUAAUUAUUUGUGAACAAAAGGAACUUAUAAAACAAGUAAUGCCGCCCCCACACGCUCAGCCCUGCGGUCCCCAAUGCGGGACGUACUGUGUGCCCCAUUGCUGGUUCCGCAGACAAAUGGAGACGCACUAUCCCCAGAACCCAGUGGUGCCACCACAUCAUCCACAUUACCCACCACCGCCACCACAUCACCAUCCCCACCAUCCACCACCACCGUAUUAUGAACAGCCACAAUACCCACCAGGCCCUUAUCCCCCACCCCAUUAUGCUCAGCCAUAUGGAGGGGCAACACCGCGCUAACCGUCUAAACGAAGGGUGCGUCUACACGGUGCAUGAAGCUGGAGCAAGUUAACAUGCGCAAGUGACAAAUGACAGGUGACAAGAGCACGUGGAUGGAACCGCUGGACCCGCACGUCUUUAAAAUGCAUGUAACCUGCGCAUGUGCCUCAACAUGCGCGAGCUACUUGCACCGUGUAGGUGCACCCUAACUUAGGUACUGCUCAACUCGACGAAUGGACUGCAUCACUCAUCAGCUAUUCCGAUGACACAUCGCGAUAGCCCUAAUUUCUACAAAAAUGAGAUCUGCUAAUGAAAGAGUUUAUUAAUCUCUCAAAAACUGUAACUUGAUAUGGUGUAAUGAUUUAAUUAAUCUUAUCUGAAUUGAUAAUGUUCGAAGAACGUACUGAUUUGAAAUAAAAGUGUACUCAAUGUUAAAAUGUUGUUGAUAUCGACACUCAAUUAAUUAAAAACUUUGUUAAAACUAACAA
rnacentral:lncRNA from 1 species